rnacentral:lncRNA from 10 species
UUGAUGGUGAUUAUUAGAAUCUAAACAAUAACUAUCAUUUAUAAGGUGUUUAUUGUGAGCCUAUGUUUUGGAUUGUAAGGAGUCAGUAGAUAAUGCUCUUUCCUGCUCACAUUUGGAGCCAGUUGUGAGAAAAGCACAGAGAAGUCAGUAUUGGAGAUUAAAAACUAUUGGCUUUUCACUGGUAAAGGCUAAAUUGGAGGACAGUAUUAAUUAUGAGGCCAGUGGUCCUAAUAUUCUUCUGGUCCAAACUUACCCCCAAAUCUCUAGGCUUUCCCCACAGGGAAAUGCUUCCUAUGUGUCAGCCUAGAAUGACUGAGAGGGAGGUGCCAAGCCACACAUGUCCUGUCCCAUCUCCUAAACUCACCAGUUGGUUACAUGACCGCUGUCCCCUAGAAAGCAGUGAGGAUGGGGAAGGGCAGGGAGAAAAGCUGGAGUGUUGUUUUACUAAUGGAAAUUUUGUCACAUGGAAACAUGAAAAAUGAAAAAUUACUAUCCUCCCAUCCCAAUACGAGGCACUGAGUUAAGUGUUCUACACAGAUAAUCUGUUAUUAAUGAGAGAAUAGAAUAGACAAUCUGUGUAGAGUGCUUAACCUGGUGCCCAGUGUUUUCAUUCCUAGAGGAAUAAAAGCAGGGAAUAUGGUCUGAAUGCACUGAAGCACUUCCCCUCAUCCCCUUUGCAUCUCUCACCCUGCAGCAUUUACCCAUUGGUCACAGACAUCUUACUUCAUAGAUUUGCAAUUUAAGUAUUUGUAUUUUGCAGAAAAUGGUCAAGUUCUAUCAUGUGGAUCCAACUCCUUUGGCCAGUUAGGAGUUCCUCAUGGACCUCGAAGAUGUGUGGUUCCCCAGGCCAUUGAGCUCCAUAAAGAGAAGGUUGUUUGUAUUGCUGCUGGACUGAGGCAUGCAGUAGCUGCUACAGGACAGCACUAAUUGGCUGUGGCAGCUGAGGCUCAGGUGCUUCGUGAGUCCACUUGUGGAGUGGAGGAAGGAGAGAGGAGGUGAGGAAGAGCUCAAUGCAGGACUGUGCUGAUAGUCCUGGGCUUAGCAUUGAUUAUACUUCAAAAAAAAUUCAACUUUUUAUUUUGAGAUAAUUGCAGAUGCACAUGCAGCUGCAAAAAUAAAACAGACCCUGUGUGUUCUCUCCCGGUUUCCCCUAAUGGUAUCUUGCAAAACUAUAGUACAAUAACAUAAUGAGGAUAUUAACAUUGAUACAGUCAAGAUAUAGAACAGUUCCAUUACCACAGGAAUCCUUCCUGUUGCCUU